GGGGAAUCUUCCGCAAUGGGCGAAAGCCUGACGGAGCAACGCCGCGUGAGUGAAGAAGGUCUUCGGAUCGUAAAGCUCUGUUGUCGGGGACGAAUGUUGAGACCAAGAACAUAAGUUUCAAAUGACGGUACCUGACGAGGAAGCCACGGCUAACUACGUGCCAGCAGCCGCGGUAAUACGUAGGUGGCGAGCGUUGUCCGGAAUUAUUGGGCGUAAAGGGAGCGCAGGCGGGAAGGUAAGUCUAUCUUAAAAGUGCGGGGCUCAACCCCGUGAGGGGAUAGAAACUAUUUUUCUUGAGUGCAGGAGAGGAAAGCGGAAUUCCUAGUGUAGCGGUGAAAUGCGUAGAUAUUAGGAGGAACACCAGUGGCGAAGGCGGCUUUCUGGACUGUAACUGACGCUGAGGCAUGAAAGCGUGGGGAGCAAAC
rnacentral:rRNA from 1 species